GACACGACUCUCGGCAAUGGAUAUCUCGGCUCUCGCAUCGAUGAAGAGCGCAGCGAAAUGCGAUACGUGGUGCGAAUUGCAGAAUCCCGCGAACCAUCGAGUCUUUGAACGCAAGUUGCGCCCGAGGCCAACCGGCCGAGGGCACGUCCACCUGGGCGUCAAGC
rnacentral:rRNA from 8 species